CGCUGGCGGCGUGCCUAACACAUGCAAGUCGAGGGGCAGCACGAUGUAGCAAUACAUUGGUGGCGACCGGCGCACGGGUGCGUAACACGUAUGGAACUUACCCUUUACUGGGAGAUAGCCCGGGGAAAUCCAGAUUAAUAUCCCAUAAUAAACGAAGUGGCAUCACUUUGUUUUGAAAGCUCCGGCGGUAAAGGAUGGCCAUGCGCACGAUUAGCUAGUAGGUGAGGUAACGGCUCACCUAGGCUACGAUCGUUAGGGGGCCUGAGAGGGUUAUCCCCCACACUGGUACUGAGACACGGACCAGACUCCUACGGGAGGCAGCAGUGAGGAAUAUUGCGCAAUGGAGGCAACUCUGACGCAGCCAUGCCGCGUGCAGGAAGAAGGCGCUACGCGUCGUAAACUGCUUUUAUCAGGGAAGAAACCCCCAGACGUGUCUGGGGUUGACGGUACCUGAGGGAUAAGCACCGGCUAACUUCGUG
rnacentral:rRNA from 1 species